CCUACGGGAGGCAGCAGUGAGGAAUAUUGGUCAAUGGGCGCAAGCCUGAACCAGCCAAGUCGCGUGAGGGAUGACGGUCCUAUGGAUUGUAAACCUCUUUUGUCGGGGAGCAAGGCCCGCCACGUGUGGCGGGAAGGAGAGUACCCGAAGAAAAAGCAUCGGCUAACUCCGUGCCAGCAGCCGCGGUAAUCCGGAGGAUGCGAGCGUUAUCAGGAUUUAUUGGGGUUAAAGGGUGCGUAGGCGGAAGGUUAAGUCAGCGGUAAAAUGUCGGGGCUCAACACCGGCCUGCCGUUGAAACUGGUCUUCUUGAGUGAGCGAGAGGUAUGCGGAAUGCGUGGUGUAGCGGUGAAAUGCAUAGAUAUCACGCAGAACUCCGAUUGCGAAGGCAGCAUACCGGCGCUCAACUGACGCUGAGGCACGAAAGCGUGGGGAUCGAACAGGAUUAGAUACCCUUGUAGUC
rnacentral:rRNA from 1 species